rnacentral:tRNA from 1 species
CACUAAGAAGCUGAAUCGGAUAGCAUUAGCCUUUUAAGCUAAGUAUGGUGACCACCAACCACCCUUAGUGG